rnacentral:rRNA from 1 species
AUGAACGCUAGCUACAGGCUUAACACAUGCAAGUCGAGGGGCAGCAUCAUCAAAGCUUGCUUUGAUGGAUGGCGACCGGCGCACGGGUGAGUAACACGUAUCCAACCUGCCGACAACACUGGGAUAGCCUUUCGAAAGAAAGAUUAAUACCGGAUGGUAUAGUUUUCCCGCAUGNGGAUGAUUAUUAAAGAAUUUCGGUUGUCGAUGGGGAUGCGUUCCAUUAGGCAGUUGGCGGGGUAACGGCCCACCAAACCUACGAUGGAUAGGGGUUCUGAGAGGAAGGUCCCCCACAUUGGAACUGAGACACGGUCCAAACUCCUACGGGAGGCAGCAGUGAGGAAUAUUGGUCAAUGGACGAGAGUCUGAACCAGCCAAGUAGCGUGAAGGAUGACUGCCCUAUGGGUUGUAAACUUCUCUUAUACGGGAAUAAAGUGAGCCACGUGUGGUUUUUUGUAUGUACCGUAUGAAUA